ACUGGGCGUAAAGGGUGCGUAGGCGGCUAACAAGUCAGGUGUUAAAGCCCUCGGCUCAGCCGAGGUAAGCCCUUGAAACUGUUAGGCUUGAGCGCAGGAGAGGAGAGCGGAAUUCCUAGUGUAGCGGUGAAAUGCGUAGAUAUUAGGAAGAACACCAGUGGCGAAGGCGGCUCUCUGGACUGUAGCUGACGCUGAGGCACGAAAGCGUGGGGAGCGAACAGGAUUAGAUACCCUGGUAGUCCACGCCGUAAACGAUGAGUGCUAGGUGUCGGGGUCGACGGGCUUCGGUGCCGGAGUUAACACAUUAAGCACUCCGCCUGGGGAGUACGAUCGCAAGAUUGAAACUCAAAGGAAUUGACGGGGGCCCGCACAAGCAGCGGAGCAUGUGGUUUAAUUCGAAGCAACGCGAAGAACCUUACCAGGGCUUGACAUCCCUCGGAUCGUUCUAGAGAUAGAACUUCCCUUCGGGGCCGAGGUGACAGGUGGUGCAUGGUUGUCGUCAGCUCGUGUCGUGAGAUGUUGGGUUAAGUCCCGCAACGAGCGCAACCCUUGCCUUUAGUUGCCAUCAGGUUAUGCUGGGCACUCUAGAGGGACUGCCGGUGACAAACCGGAGGAAGGUGGGGAUGACGUCAAAUCAUCAUGCCCCUUAUGUCCUGGGCUACACACGUGCUACAAUGGCCGGUACAACGGGCAGCCAACCCGCAAGGGGGAGCUAAUCCCAUAAAGCCGGUCCCAGUUCGGAUUGCAGGCUGCAACUCG
rnacentral:rRNA from 1 species